GUAACACUGAUGUCUAUAGAGCACAGUCUAUAUGAGCAUUUCAGAAACAUUUUAUCUUUAUGAACUGAUCAUUAUUUUGGAAGGCGAUGACAGAGCCACUGAAAGUCGAUAACUAUUUCUUAUCUUGGAAGCAUUACUAGGAACAAAAAUUGACAACGCUCAUGUGAUAUUGUCUAAAAGUCAGAUCAAGUUGUUGAUUGGAUAUUGGUGCUAGAUCGUAAUUUAC